rnacentral:rRNA from 1 species
GACGAACGCUGGCGGCGUGCCUAAUACAUGCAAGUAGAACGCUGAAGAGAGGAGCUUGCUCUUCUUGGAUGAGUUGCGAACGGGUGAGUAACGCGUAGGUAACCUGCUUGGUAGCGGGGGAUAACUAUUGGAAACGAUAGCUAAUACCGCAUAAUAGUAGAUGUUGCAUGACAUUUGCUUAAAAGGUGCAAUUGCAUCACUACCAGAUGGACCUGCGUUGUAUUAGCUAGUUGGUGAGGUAACGGCUCACCAAGGCAACGAUACAUAGCCGACCUGAGAGGGUGAUCGGCCACACUGGGACUGAGACACGGCCCAGACUCCUACGGGAGGCAGCAGUAGGGAAUCUUCGGCAAUGGACGGAAGUCUGACCGAGCAACGCCGCGUGAGUGAAGAAGGUUUUCGGAUCGUAAAGCUCUGUUGUAAGAGAAGAACGAGUGUGAGAGUGGAAAGUUCACGGUGGACGG